GUACUUCUCACUCCUUUCUAUCUUUUAUUGACCUAAAUUCCAUUGCCUUAACAGUAUCAUAGCUGCUGCCCUACUUGAUGAGCCCUAUUCCACCCUCCCACACCCGAUCCUCAUUCUGGCAUGACACCAGCUCUGCUUCCAGCCCCAAGUAUCAUCUUCUGCCCGCCUGUUCCUGCAGCUCUAUGUGAACUUUGGUUUCAAGUUAGCAUCUCAACAUCCAUUUGGCAAAGACUUUUGGAAGGGGCUGUUAUGUACCACCCUGGAUCUAGCAUCAGGGAUCAAAUGAGACCGCCCAGGCUGCUAUGAGGACAUCUGGAGGCACAGGAGGAAAAAGGUUGUGCAAGUGACUUGGCAGGACAUUAGCCUUGAAGUGAUUACAUACACGCCACACUCAAGUCACAUUUCCUUGCCUGGAAGUAAUCACUUGGCCCUUCCAAACUGUGAGGGAACUGGGAAGUAAGUAAGUAUUUGGGAAGGACAGCUGAGAUAUUGUGGAGCACUCUAAAUGUCUACCACACAUGUUUAACCCAACAGAGUCUGAUCUGAAACCACAUCUCC
rnacentral:lncRNA from 1 species